rnacentral:rRNA from 1 species
GUAGUGACGAAAAAUAACGAUACGGGACUCAUCCGAGGCCCCGUAAUCGGAAUGAGUACACUUUAAAUCCUUUAACGAGGAUCCAUUGGAGGGCAARUCUGGUGCCAGCAGCCGCGGUAAUUCCAGCUCCAAUAGCGUAUAUUAAAGUUGUUGCGGUUAAAAAGCUCGUAGUUGAAUCUGUGUGUCACGAUGUUGGUUCACCGCUCGCGGUGUUUAACUAGCAUGCCGUGAGACGUCCUACCGGUGGGCUUAGCUCUUCACGGGGCGGUCCAACUAAUAUCCCAUCGCGGUGCUCUUCAUUGAGUGUCGAGGUGGGCCGGUACGUUUACUUUGAACAAAUUAGAGUGCUUAAAGCAGGCUAUCUUCGCCUGAAUACUGUGUGCAUGGAAUAAUGGAAUAGGACCUCGGUUCUAUUUUGUUGGUUUUCGGAACCCCGAGGUAAUGAUUAAUAGGGACAGAUGGGGGCAUUCGUAUUGCGACGUUAGAGGUGAAAUUCUUGGAUCGUCGCAAGACGGACAGAAGCGAAAGCAUUUGCCAAAAAUGUUUUCAUUAAUCAAGAACGAAAGUUAGAGGUUCGAAGGCGAUCAGAUACCGCCCUAGUUCUAACCAUAAACGAUGCCAGCUAGCGAUCCGCCGAAGUUCCUCCGAUGACUCGGCGGGCAGCUUCCGGGAAACCAAAGCUUUUGGGUUCCGGGGGAAGUAUGGUUGCAAAGCUGAAACUUAAAGGAAUUGACGGAAGGGCACCACCAGGAGUGGAGCCUGCGGCUUAAUUUGACUCAACACGGGAAACCUCACCAGGCCCGGACACCGGAAGGAUUGACAGAUUGAUAGCUCUUUCUUGAUUCGGUGGGUGGUGGUGCAUGGCCGU